rnacentral:lncRNA from 1 species
CUGGGGUACAGUUUGAAGGAGUUUUUGGUAAAGCUUGACAUGUCCUCAGCGUUUUAGGUUGUAGAUGAGGAUAGAGACUGAUGACUGCUCCUACCUGGAUAAACCUGUAGAGAGGAGACUGGUGUAGCAGCCCGACAUGGCAGGGAAUGAUGAUGACCAGAGUGCCUUGGAAGCCAUUUUGAAGAAGGCAGAUAUGACAACACGCUGGGUCUACAGAAGCGGCGCUGCUUGUCAAUAUGGAAUACCCAUAGUUGAUUCUUAUGAACUCACACAGUUCAAAGAGUGGAAUGUCAUCAAGGCAUUGCCUGAUGCAUCUGUCACCACACUCACUGGAGGGAAUUAAUCUAGGAAUAGGCAGGUUCCAGGGACCAUCAGCAACAUACCAAACCACAGCGAGAAAUCAAGCAUGACUCAGCUCCUGCCCACUGCAAUUACUCAGGACCUCUGCCCUUCAGAUGUGGGGAAAAGCCCAGCAGUGUCUUGCAGUAACUGCUGCUCAGGUCUGGAACUUCCUGACAAAUUACCUAGCAAGUCCUUUGCUAAGGGGAGGCUCAAACUGGAUUUCAGAAGACCCACCUGACCAGGAUGACUGAAACAAACUGUGGACUGGGUACCAAUCCAAAGGAUAAUAUUGUAGCGUCAGGAAUAAAAUAAAUUUCAACUCAAUAAGAAGCCUAACU